rnacentral:rRNA from 1 species
GAUGAACGCUGGCGGCGUGCCUAAUACAUGCAAGUCGAGCGAACAGACGAGGAGCUUGCUCCUCUGACGUUAGCGGCGGACGGGUGAGUAACACGUGGAUAACCUACCUAUAAGACUGGGAUAACUUCGGGAAACCGGAGCUAAUACCGGAUAAUAUAUUGAACCGCAUGGUUCAAAAGUGAAAGACGGUUUUGCUGUCACUUAUAGAUGGAUCCGCGCCGCAUUAGCUAGUUGGUAAGGUAACGGCUUACCAAGGCAACGAUGCGUAGCCGACCUGAGAGGGUGAUCGGCCACACUGGAACUGAGACACGGUCCAGACUCCUACGGGAGGCAGCAGUAGGGAAUCUUCCGCAAUGGGCGAAAGCUUGACGGAGCAACGCCGCGUGAGUGAUGAAGGUCUUCGGAUCGUAAAACUCUGUUAUUAGGGAAGAACAAAUGUGUAAGUAACUAUGCACGUCUUGACGGUACCUAAUCAGAAAGCCACGGCUAACUACGUG